rnacentral:rRNA from 1 species
CAAUAGCGUAUAUUAAAGUUGUUGCAGUUAAAAAGCUCGUAGUUGGAUUUCUGGUGGGAGCGAUCGGUCUGGCGCUUAGCGCGAGUACUUGCAUCGUCUCCGGCCAUCCUUGGGGAGAGUCUGUCUGGCAUUAGGUUGUCGGGCAGAGGAUCCUCAUCGUUUACUGUGAAAAAAUUAGAGUGUUCAAAGCAGGCUUACGCCGUUGAAUAUAUUAGCAUGGAAUAAUAAGAUAGGACCUUGGUACUAUUUUGUUGGUUUGCGCACCGAGGUAAUGAUUAACAGGGACAGUUGGGGGUAUUCGUAUUCCAUUGUCAGAGGUGAAAUUCUUGGAUUUCUGGAAGACGAACUACUGCGAAAGCAUUUACCAAGGAUGUUUUCAUUAA